ACGGGAGGCAGCAGUGGGGGAUAUUGCACAAUGGAGGAAACUCUGAUGCAGCAACGCCGCGUGAGGGACGAAGGUCUUCGGAUUGUAAACCUUUGUUUUUAGUGAAGAAAAAAAUGACGGUAGCUAAAGAGGAAGCCACGGCUAACUACGUGCCAGCAGCCGCGGUAAUACGUAGGUGGCAAGCGUUGUCCGGAUUUACUGGGUGUAAAGGGUGCGCAGGCGGGACUGCAAGUUGGAUGUGAAAUACCGGAGCUUAACUCCGGAACUGCAGCCAAAACUGUAGUGCUUGAGUGGAGUAGAGGUAAGCGGAAUUCCGAGUGUAGCGGUGAAAUGCGUAGAUAUUCGGAGGAACACCAGUGGCGAAGGCGGCUUACUGGGCUCUAACUGACGCUGAGGCACGAAAGUGUGGGGAGCAAACAGGAUUAGAUACCCUGGUA
rnacentral:rRNA from 1 species